rnacentral:rRNA from 1 species
UGAAAUGUUGGGUUAAGUCCCGCAACGAGCGCAACCCUUAUCCUUUGUUGCCAGCGGUCCGGCCGGGAACUCAAAGGAGACUGCCAGUGAUAAACUGGAGGAAGGUGGGGAUGACGUCAAGUCAUCAUGGCCCUUACGACCAGGGCUACACACGUGCUACAAUGGCGCAUACAAAGAGAAGCGACCUCGCGAGAGCAAGCGGACCUCAUAAAGUGCGUCGUAGUCCGGAUUGGAGUCUGCAACUCGACUCCAUGAAGUCGGAAUCGCUAGUAAUCGUGGAUCAGAAUGCCACGGUGAAUACGUUCCCGGGCCUUGUACACACCGCCCGUCACACCAUGGGAGUGAGUUGCAAAAGAAGUAGGUAGCUUAACCUUCGGGAGGGCGCUUACCACUUUGUGAUUCAUGACUGGGGUGAAGUCGUAACAAGGUAACCGUAGGGGAACCUGCGGUUGGA